GGAAGCUUAUACAUAUAAGGUAAAACUGAAGUUAACCCAUAGUUCUGACAAUCAGAGGCCACCAUAGGGACAGAAACAAACUCCUGGGCCCUUAACCUGUUACUUAUUAAAAGCAUGAGUUGUGUUUUCUUUUGAAACAGUCAGGGACUUAGAGGCUGACCCUACGAAUGUCCAAUGGGAAGUAAAUGCAGGAUAAAGCUUGGCACCUUUGCUCUCAUUUUAUGCCUCCUUUAUUACCUUAAAGCUUUGGGAUAAAGCCCUACUCAGCUCUGCAGACUGAGGACAACUGAGGACACCAAGGUUUCUAGGAAAAGCUGAGCCUUGCAGACCACCCCAUGAUGUGGUCACUCUUCCAAGCAAGAACAACUAUCGCAUGGGAACUGAAUUACCCCCCCACCCCAAUCCAUAGGAAUCUUCUGGAACUACAAAACCACGACUGAAAUGAUGAUCAAGAAGGCUCCAGCCCAGCAUGGCACCUUGUAAAAGUGGCUUCUGGUCCUCUGUUAUGGGCCAGUCUGAACUUGAUCAGCACGAGGCCCUUCCAGAUGCUCAAGCCAGAGUCUUUUCCUUAUUUUCUCUUUCUUUCCUUUACUAAGGGGCCAGCUUGAUCUUUGUCCGCUCCUCAAGCUAGUAUUCCUUACUACUUUUUCUUACUUUCCAAUAAAAACUUUUUCCCUCUGCAAAUUUGUGCCUCAGGUUUAAUUUAUGUUAUCACAUAAGCAAGGAUCCAUGUUAGACAAAGUUUAGUUGAACCAUCCUUGGAGAUCUGGACAUAGGUGCUCCUCAACUUGGGAUGGAUUUAUGUAAACCCAUUCCAAGUGAAAAAUACAGUAAGUCAAAAAUGUGUUUAAUCCACUUAACCUGUCAAACCUUGCAGUUUAGCAGCACAGGACAGUGUGGAGUGUUAGCUGUGACCCCUGAUUCUGGCGAGGCUGUCUGGAGCUGUGCCUUGCUGCCACGGCUCAGCAUUACCAGAAUAUACUAAUGCACAGCACCAGGCUAGCCUGGGAAACAAUAAAAAUUCAGAAUCUGAAGUAUAGUCUCUACUGAAUGUGUAAGCUUACACACCACAGCAACACAGAAAAACCAUAAGUUGAAUCCUCAUAUGUCCAGGGCUGUCUGUACAAUGGAUCA